rnacentral:rRNA from 1 species
GGGGCACGUGAGCCCUGGGGACGGUACCGUAAGAAUAAGGACCGGCUAACUCCGUGCCAGCAGCCGCGGUAAUACGGAGGGUCCGAGCGUUAUCCGGAAUCAUUGGGUUUAAAGGGUCCGCAGGCGGGCAAUUAAGUCAGGGGUGAAAUGGUACGGCUCAACCGUAGCACUGCCCUUGAUACUGGUUGUCUUGAGUCAUAGUGGAGUGGCCGGAAUAUGUAGUGUAGCGGUGAAAUGCAUAGAUAUUACAUAGAACACCGAUCGCGAAGGCAGGUCACUAACUAUCGACUGACGCUAAUGGACGAAAGCGUGGGGAGCGAACAGGAUUAGAUACCCUGGUAGUCCACGCCGUAAACGAUGGAUACUAGCUGUCGGGACUUCGGUCUCGGCGGCCAAGCGAAAGUGAUAAGUAUCCCACCUGGGGAGUACGUUCGCAAGAAUGAAACUCAAAGGAAUUGACGG